UCAGAGGCUCUUCUGGCUCAGGGGCCCUCUCAGCCCUCGGGCCCCUGGUCCUGUUCAAGUCAUGAAUGACAGCAGGUCAUCAGUCAGUUUGCGGUUAAAACCAUCAAACCUGCAGAGAGACCAGAAGAUUUCCCCCUUCAGCCUGUGGACAGCAGCAGCAGGUGGACUCUCUGCAGACCUUUCGGAUCUGUUUCCUGCCCAGUCUUGUUGAAUUAUUCAGACUCUGUCAUCCAGUUCAACCUCUAACGGCUGCCAGCUGCUUCAAAAAGCUUAAGAUCAUCACCAUCAGUCCACAUUAGCCUCACUGCCUCCAUCAGUCUCUGAUGUAAUCAUGUUUUCUGGAGUUGGGACGUUAGAUUUGAGGAGCAGCCCCAAUUUUCAUCCUUCAAUAUCAGCCGCGAGUUCAAAUAAUCUCAUUGGGUCAAACUAACGAACGCAGAGCGAAGCUGGCAGUUCAUCACCGCAGACGCAUCCUUCAUUUGGGGCUUUAAAUUGUUCAGUCUGCUCUGAGUUUUCUUCUUUGGGGAUUUUUACAGGAAACAGACAAAAGGUCAUCAUCAUAUUUCUACAUCAGAGUGAACUGUGGCGUGACUGUCUGACCCUGACGACCUUCAGAUGGAGGGUUGAAACUUUCAGCGAGGUGUCCUCUGUGUCUCUGACAGACCGCCCAGGGUUCUGGUUUGAUGAAUCAGCUGCUUAUUGCUGGAUGACCCUGACCUGGGGCUGAUUAAAGCUCUGGCUAUGACACGGAGUCUGUGAAUUAUGGCUGAACUUUGACCUCUUCUCCUCCUCUGAUAUUCCUGCAGGAGUUUCAGGGUUUGUUCGGCUGCAAUCAUCUGCAUCUUCCUCACUACAGCUGAAGAUAAUUUACCGUGAUAAAAAGCGGGCCGCAGAGGUCUGGUGAGCACUGACCUGUCGAUGCUGAUGGCGCAGAGGUUGAAGAUGGAGGAAGUGCACAGCAUCACGUCCAUGGUCAUCAGACCGUCACAGAUGGUGGUGCUGAGGGUCCACACGCCGUCCUGGAACUGAGACACAAACACGCUCAUUACAAGAAAAACGACUGCACGUCUUCGGAAGCUCAGCUGGUUUGAGGUGCGCGUGGUUCAGCUCCGCUCUUCUACAGCUCCGUGGUGGAGUCAGUCAUCACCUCCUCUGUUAUUACUUGGUUUGGUGAUCUCUCAACGGGCGACAGGAACAGGUUGCGGCAUGUAGUCAAAGUGGCCGGUAAGAUCACUGGUGUUAAACUGCCUGAUCUGUGUCACAUUUUUACGUAAGAGACGUGCUUCGCAGUGUCCUCUUCAUCCUCUGUGUGGAGAGUUAGAGCUUCUCCCCUCCGGGCGGAGAUUUAGACGACCAAAGUCCAGGUCUAACGGGGAGACUAAUCAUUUUAUCUCUCAGGCCAUGUUAAAUACUCACGAUGACUCAGCUGAUGACUAGUUUCCUGUAUAACUUUAGGGGGCUGAUGAUGUUUUUGGCGAUUGCUAAACAUACUCUAGGUUUCCACAAAUUCAGCAAAGAGUGUAACAAUAGAAAAACCUUCCAAAAGCGUAAAAGCUCAGCGCAGUGCAGGAUCGUUUAUUUCUGCAAACAAACACGACUGCCGACGUCCUCACAGCUGUAUCUUUCCAACAACUCUUCCCUUCUCUUUACGCACUCUGCAACAUGUUAGAAAUCCACAAAUUAUGAGCCAUGUUUGGUCUGUAUUUUGUGAUCGGCAGGUGUCACUGUACAUAAGUACAUUUACUCAAGUACUGCAUGUAAGUACAAUUUUGAGGUACUUCUACUUCUACUCCACUGCAAUUCAGAGAACAAUAUUGUGCUUUUUACACCAUUUCGUUUAUUUGCAAACUUUAGUUACUUUGCUGAUUCAGAUUAAUUACGAUGUAUUAUUAAAGGCUAAGAUAGGACUUUACCAGCUGCCACGUUACUUGUACCAUUUGUACACUGUGGUACUUUUACUCAUGUUACCACAAUGUUAUUUAUUGUAUCUGUAUAUUUUAUUUGUAUAUUACUGUGUUUACUUGUUUCUUAAUGUUUAAUCUCACUUUUAUUAACACAAAUCCAUCACAGCGAAUGCAGACCAUCGUCUCUUUCAGGAAUUUGAGAGAUAACGGUUUCUGGAUAUUAUUUAUCCCAUGUGCAAUAAGAGCUCUUAAUUCAUAUAUACCAUAAACUCUCUUGGUUCCUCAUCAGCUCAGCACUUUCUCUUAUCCCUCAGCACUUUUAAUGUCUUUUAUUGUCUUACCGUGUUUAUGUUUGCUUUGCUGCAAAAAGACAUUCCUCUUGUGGGACAAUAAAGAACUGAACUGUGAGAACAAACGGUCACGAGAUUUGAGCAACAAAUAUCUAGUGUGAAAAUGUAUCUGUUGUUUCUCUCUGUUUUAUGAACACUAUGAAACUGAACCCCAUUCAUUUACCCAUACAAUACAAUAAUGAUGUAAUUAAGAUACUUUUAAUGAGAUUUUAAGGGGAUAAUUAAUGGAUGUAUUAAGGUGAGGCAUGGUUUAAUGGAUUUUUAAGGUGUAAAAACUCUUUACCAACUCCUGACCAAAUGACAUGACAGCCAUCCCUUAUGCCUUAACAUAUCCUCAAAUUUUCAGUUAACGUGAACAUUUUGUGAUGACUUUCAUGCUUUGUGGUUCAUUUUAAGAGUUUUUUUUAAAUAACUGAAAACCCUUUAAACCAAGCAUAUAAUCAAUUAAAACACCCUUAAUAUAUUAUAAUCCAUUAAUUGGUGCAUUAAUUAAUAGAUUGAGCUGGUGUUGCUGCAGAUUUGGUGUGUAGAAGAGGUAACAACAGAGGUAACAUCAGUCUAAUUCCUGUCAGCAGCAGUUAAUUAAUAUGUCAAUUAAGGGGAAAGUCAAGUAGGCUACUACUUAAAAUCUACUUAACUUGUAAAUUAAGGACUUUUCAAAUAAAAGUGUUUUUAAGGGGCUUGGUUAUUGCUUUUCCAAAUUAAUGGACAAAUUAAAGAAUCUCUGGUUACCACCUUAAUCUAAAUUACGGUGUUUGGGGUGUUUUCAGGGAUAAAUUAAGGUUAUUUGGGUGUUUUAAGGGUUUUUUGUUACAUGGUUAAAUGUUCCAUGCAGAGAGCGGCUCUUUAAAACAGAUUUGAAAGGAAAAUGCUGGAAUCCAUAACACCUGCUGUGCCGAGACCAGACAGACCUGCAUCUGGACUCUGAAGUCAAGCAGCUCUGUGGGGCCCCUAAAAGAGUCGGGGGCCCCUGGAGGUCUGGUUGCAGC